UGACGAUGUAACAUCUAUGUCGGUUGCGUCUCCAGAAUUUUUGUUAAUUGGGAGUGAAAAGUGCAUUUUCUUUAUAAAUUGUGCUCGGAAAACAUGUGUAUUGCAUAUCUGAACUGCUAGAGAGGAUUAUGCCACAAAUUAUCCAGGGUUACAGAUAUGGACCACACGCUGCCAGUGAAGAUGAAGGAGAUUACGAAUAUCAACACAGCAUACAAGAUCUUCAAGUCGCAAAGAAACCAGGCUGCCUUUGGAUGGAAUGGACCAAGGAUCGGUAUGGGUCUGGACACGUCAUAUAGCUCAGGUCGUACCUGAGCUCGGGCGCUGUAUCCAGACGUGCUGCACUCCGGGAGUGAAUGUGCGCCUUUACACAUUUUGCUCGGUACAAUCGCGGGUAGGGCCCAGCUGGACUCGAGAGAUGAUCGCAAUCGAAUGGGGACACACAAUUGUAAUUACC